rnacentral:rRNA from 1 species
UACGUAGGGGGCAAGCGUUGUCCGGAAUCAUUGGGCGUAAAGCGCGUGUAGGCGGCUGAGUAAGUCUGCUCUGAAAGCCCGGGGCUCAACCCCGGGAGGCGGGUGGAUACUGCUCAGCUCGAGUCCGGAAGAGGAGUGUGGAAUUCCUGGUGUAGCGGUGAAAUGCGCAGAUAUCAGGAAGAACACCCGUGGCGAAGGCGGCUCUCUGGGGACGGUACUGACG